rnacentral:rRNA from 1 species
GAUGAACGCUGGCGGCGUGCCUAAUACAUGCAAGUCGAGCGAACAGACGAGGAGCUUGCUCCUCUGACGUUAGCGGCGGACGGGUGAGUAACACGUGGAUAACCUACCUAUAAGACUGGGAUAACUUCGGGAAACCGGAGCUAAUACCGGAUAAUAUAUUGAACCGCAUGGUUCAAUAGUGAAAGACGGUUUUGCUGUCACUUAUAGAUGGAUCCGCGCCGCAUUAGCUAGUUGGUAAGGUAACGGCUUACCAAGGCAACGAUGCGUAGCCGACCUGAGAGGGUGAUCGGCCACACUGGAACUGAGACACGGUCCAGAAGCCUACGGGAGGCAGCAGUAGGGAAUCUUCCGCAAUGGGCGAAAGCCUGACGGAGCAACGCCGCGUGAGUGAUGAAGGUCUUCGGAUCGUAAAACUCUGUUAUUAGGGAAGAACAAAUGUGUAAGUAACUAUGCACGUCUUGACGGUACCUAAUCAGAAAGCCACGGCUAACUACGUG